UACGGAGGGUGCAAGCGUUAAUCGGAAUUACUGGGCGUAAAGGGUGCGUAGGUGGUGAUAUAAGUUAUCUGUGAAAUCCCCGGGCUCAACCUGGGCAGGUCAGAUAAGACUGUAACACUCGAGUAUGGGAGAGGGUAGUGGAAUUUCCGGUGUAGCGGUGAAAUGCGUAGAGAUCGGAAGGAACACCAGUGGCGAAGGCGGCUACCUGGCCCAAUACUGACACUGAGGCACGAAAGCGUGGGGAGCAAAC
rnacentral:rRNA from 1 species